UCGAUGAAUGCAGAAGAAAGAAGAUAAUCAAUAUUGGGUUUGUUGACCCAGAUAAAGUACAUCAUGACACAGUAAGGGAUAAAGACGAAGAAACGGGGGGAAGCCUACUAAGGUUUACAACGGAGCAACAUUUAUGUGAUUCAAUACUGUUUCUUACAACUACAGUUUUCACUGGAUUCUGCUAGACAUUCAAGUUGAUAAGGGAAUAGUUGAAGUAAGGGACCCAUUGAGUAGAGGCCUGGAAGGGUUCCGCAACUUCCAGCAGUUGCUCCAGAGAGUUUGGAGAUGCUUCAAGAAGGUGGUUAAGGGUAACUUCGCAGAGAAUCUAACAUUUACUCUUGUAUCAUGCGCCCAGCAGCCACAGGGGAUGAAUCUAUGUGGAUACUACGUUUGCGAGUCCAUUCACAUGUUAACCACUGAGAAGGACGAUAAUAGAUUCAACGUCGAGUUCAUGCGGGAGAAGCUCCAACCACACGAACACCUACUAGGAAUUGCGAAGGAAGUGGCGGGACUUCUGAUGAGAGAAAUAAUAGAUGACAACGGUUUGUUUAGUUUAAAUAGGGGCUUCUGAUGAUCCCCGUGUAAUAGUUCAACUAGAC